rnacentral:sRNA from 1 species
UCAAUGACCCCAUUUUAUGGUACACCUGA